rnacentral:rRNA from 1 species
UACGGGGGGGCAAGCGUUGUUCGGAAUUACUGGGCGUAAAGGGCUCGUAGGCGGCCAACUAAGUCAGACGUGAAAUCCCCAGUCUCAACCUGGGAACUGCGUCUGAUACUGGAUGGCUUGAAUCCGGGAGAGGGAUGCAGAAUUCCAGGUGUAGCGGUGAAAUGCGUAGAUAUCUGGAGGAAUACCGGUGGCGAAGGCGGCAUCCUGGACCGGCAUUGACGCUGAGGAGCGAAAGCCAGGGGAGCAAACGGG